CCCUUAGAUGUUCUGGGCUGCACGCGCGCUACACUGAUGCACUCAACGAGUUUACGGCCUUGCCCGAUAGGGUUGGGUAAUCUUUUUAAAAUGCAUCGUGAUGGGGAUAGAUUAUUGCAAUUAUUAAUCUUCAACGAGGAAUUCCUAGUAAGCGCGAGUCAUCAGCUCGUGCUGAUUACGUCCCUGCCCUUUGUACACACCGCCCGUCGCUCCUACCGAUUGAGUGCUCAGGUGAAUAAUUCGGACUGCAGCAAUGUUUGGAUCCCGAACGUUGCAGCGGAAAGUUUAGUGAACCUUAUCACUUAGAGGAAGGAGAAGUCGUAACA
rnacentral:rRNA from 1 species